rnacentral:lncRNA from 1 species
AAAAGAAAAAAAAAGUGAUUAAUUGAAUGAUUAUGGAAAACAUGAUUAUAGAAAAACGAGUCGAUAACCGCCACUUCGAUUACUUGUUACCGGUCCAUAUCGACAUGGACCAGAUUAAUACUAUAAACAAAACAUGUAAAUAUAUAAGUGGUAAUAUAAACCCAGAUAUAUAUAAUAAGAACACAAAUAACAAAUUAACUAAAGUUAUUGGAGGAAAAUAUAACUAUGAACUGUUAGAAAAAAAUGGAAGUACUAAAAUAUUAUGGGGUAACGCAACAAGCAGUAUAGUAAUAACAACAUUCAUAGGGUUAACACAAAAUCAAAUUACAGUAAAUAAAAAUACAGAAUAUGCACAAAUAAAUUUAAGAAUUAGAAAUAUACAAGGAUAUCGUAAUGAAAGAGAAAAAAUGUUGGAAGAGAUAGUAAUUAAAACUUUUGAACAAAUAAUUGAUAAAAGUUCAUAUAAAUUUCAACAAUUUAUUUUUCGAGUACAAAUAAUAAAUGAAUAUACCUACAUUUUAUCAAGUAUAAUAAACUCUAUUAUGUUAAAUUUGAUUUAUAAUAAUAUAACACUUAAUUAUAUAAUAUAUUCAAUAAAUAUUGGUGUAGUGGAUAAAGAAAGUUUUAAUAAAUAUGUUCAAAAUAAAUAUACUACAUCAACUUAUGUUUCAGAGAAGGAAUCUAAGAGUUUCUAUGAUAUUAAACAAAGUGCAGUGGAACAAGUAAUACAUAAAAAAGGGAAUGAUAAUACUAAAGGAGAAGAUAAAAACAUAAUAAAACCAACUGAAACAAAUGAAUUAAUUUAUGAAAAACAUAAACAUACAUUCUUUUACCAAUAUGACAACUUAUAUAUCCCCAAAAUUAUUUUAGACCCUCUUGAUAUAGAAAUAGAGUUAUACUGUAGUAGUGCCUUUUGUUAUAUUGUUGCUCCUAGUUUUACUAAAAUAUUAUCAAACAUUUUAAUAAAAACUCAUACAGGUAUUUCUAAAGAAAUUAACGACCUGUGUAAAUCUUACGCUUGUGAGAGUACAAAGGUACUACAUGAAAAUAUUAAAAAAGGAUAUGCUAACCAUUUAAAACAAGUGGAGGUAUUUAUGAAUGCUAACUAUUUUGCUUAGCAUAGCGCGCUGUACUACUAACUGGAGUACAAGUAGAUAAAUAAAUAAAUAAAAAAAAAAAAAUAAAAAAUAAAU